AUUCCUAAAAAUAGUCUGAAUUAAUCUAAAAUGAAUCAAGAAACCUGUCUUUAAUUUUGACAUUUUCAGAAGAAGUCUCAGUCGCAGAAUUUUACAUCUAACUAAAAUGUUUGGUGCAGUAUUUCUCAAGUGAAAAGAUGUGCAUGAAAACUAGGCGUCUCUUGUUGAGACAUCAAACUAGAGGUUUUCACGGAUCCACCUGUACCCAAAUAUCCGAGACCGGAUCCAGAAUUCUAAAUAAUGUCACAGGUCUGGGCCGGAUCUGAUAUGAUUGUCAUGGGUCUCAGGUAUGUGUAAUUUUAACUGACUUGUCUGGAAGGGCCCAUGAAGAUCCAAACGUGACUGCUGCAGUAGAGAGAGAUAAUAAUUUAUGCUGCUGCUCUUGCUUUUCACGAGAGUGGAGCGUGGCGCAUGUAGCGUGUUGUUGGCCAAUCAAGAGUCAUCAAAGCAGCAAUAGGCUACAGUCACAGAGUCUUUGUGUGUGGCAAAAGUUACGAGAUCUCUAAUCAAUGGAUGAUGUAAUUAAAAUGACAGAAUUAUAUGUUUGAGAAGGAUAGGCUACAAUGACCAAGAGCCAACAGUCAAGACAGGUACUACCUAUGUAACGUUUGACGUCUGGGGAAGGAGAGGAGGACCAAGGUGCAGCGUGCUAUCCUCAGCCAAGCAGACGUCCCAGCUCAUGGUGCAGCACUUCUUCUGAAUCCAUGGACUUCCGGUGGACAUGGUCUCCGACUGGGGCCAUCUCCAAGAUUCUUAGCCCCUCUGCUGUUCAUCUUCUGUUGCCCCGUACCCUCCUUAUACAUCCCACUUUUCAUGUGUCUACGAUUUAACUUAUGUCUCACAGCCCUUUGUCUCCUGUUUCCAGUCCCACCCCUCUCCCCUGUCUCGACGGCCAACCGGCGUAGACAGUGAGGCGCCUCCUGAAGGUUUGGCCGCGGGGUAGGGGAUUCCAGUACCUCGUUGACUGGGAGGGUUAUGGCCCAGAGAAGAGGUGCUGGGUACCCGCUAGGGUUAUCCUGGACCCAGCCCUCAUCGCUGAGUUCCACCGCCGGCAUCCCAGUCAACCGGGUAUGCGUCAACCAGGUGGAGUCCUUAGGGGGGUGGUUUACUGUUACACUCUGAUCUGUUUCACCUGUCUUUGUGCUUGUCUCCACCCCCCUCCAGGUGUCGCUCAUCUUCCCUACUAUCCCCUGUGCAUUCAUUCCUGUUCUGUUUGUCUGUUGCCAGUUUGUCUUGUCUCAUUCAAGCCUACCAGCGUGUUUUUCAUAUUCCUGUUUUCUUGAGCUCCUGUAUUCUAGUUAUCCCGGUUUUGAUGAUUCUGCCUGCCCUAACCCUGAACCUGCCUGCCGUUCUGUACCUUUUGAUACUGCCCUGUAUACCUCUGCCUACCCUUGACCUGUCGUUUGCUGUUUUAUAAAUAUAUGUCUGUUAUUCAAACUUUCUGGGUCUUAUCCUGAGUCGUGAUAGCUGUGGACAUCCUAGAGCAAAACAAUCAACAUGUACGUCUUCUUGAGAGUUACUGUAUAUAUUAGUGUGUUACCCAAACUGUUGUGACGUGUCAUGACGUGGCCCUUUCUCAGUGUAGAUCAUGGCUCCCCCUUUCUCAAUCUCUCUCCUAACCCAGGUUUAUUACCUUUGGUUGUAAAUACCGGGCAGAAACCACCAUGCAGUGUUGAGGGAGAGAAUUUCCCAGAACAGAGACUUGGCCAAACUUCUAAUCCCCAAAAUGGGAGAAUUAAACAAUAUUGCUACUUUUGAGAAUGUGGUAAUAGUCUGUGGACAGUUAAGGGACAGUUAUGACGAGUUGUUUCAUUUGAUGAUCUCAUGCAGAACAGGAAACACACAUAACGGUAUCUCUUCAAGUGUAUAUUUCCCAGCUGUCAGGUUUAAAGGCACUGUAAUAUUAAAUGUUAAAUAUUGU